AAGGGCACUCGCUUCUUUUCUGGUUGGGUUUAGAUGCUUUAAUCUUAACAUGGACGAAUGCUUUUUGUGU
rnacentral:ncRNA from 1 species